AAAACAUCAGCAAUAGAAAGUGGGAG
rnacentral:guide_RNA from 1 species